rnacentral:rRNA from 1 species
AUUGAACGCUGGCGGCAGGCCUAACACAUGCAAGUCGAGCGGAGCGGCCGACGGGUGGGUGAUGCCUAGGAAUGUGCCUGGUAGUUGGGGGUAACGACCGACAACGGACGCUAAUACAGCAUACAAUCCGACAAGCCUAGGUAGGAUGAGCUAGUUGGUGGGGUAAAGGCCUACCAAGGCGACGAUCCGUAACUGGUCUGAGAGGAUGAUCAGUCACACUGGAACUGAGACACGGUCCAGACUCCUACGGGAGGCAGCAGUGGGGAAUAUUGGACAAUGGGCGAAAGCCUGAUGCAGCCAUGCCGCGUGUGUGAAGAAGGUCUUCGGAUUGUAAAGCACUUUAAGCUGGGAGGCGUUACCCGCAGAAGAAGCACCGGCUAACUCCGUGCCAGCAGCCGCGGUAAUUC